ACCGUGGAAAUUGGCCGACAGAGCUUUCUUACCCUGAGAGCCACUCAUUAAACAUUUACCAGCACACCGUUACCCAGAUCUCUCCGCUUCCCUUUAUUUCCAUUUCUGCCAUGUCAGCCCAAGCCACGUUCAUCCCUUCCUCCGCAGGCCUCCUGCUCAGCCCCCUGCUUGCCUUUCUGCUGUCCAUUCCCUGCAAGGCAGCUGGAGAGAGCUUGAAAAAAGAUGGAAAAACUGAGAAUCAGAGAGGGCUAGUGAUCUCUCGGACACUUGGUCAGUAGAGAAAUGGUCCAGGAGACGUUUCUGGAAAUGGAAUUUCAGUAUCAGUUGAGCUUCAGUAAAAUACAACAAAGAUGAAGUGGCAAGGAUUUGGGGACUUCUCUGAGUCUGCUUGGUGGGAAAGCUCCUCCAGUGUCUGGAGUCUGAGAAGAGAAUCCUUCCGUGAUGUUCUCAGGAGCUCUCAAGUUGGCCCCUGUCUUCGGUCCUGAGCCUUUAAUCAAGGUGCUGACAGUGGGGCCGAUUGCCCUGAAGGGUGCAUUUCUGCAGGUGCCAGAGAAUAAUCCAGCAGACAGCCAUGAGUCAGUUCAUCCGGCCAGUCUUAUUUUCCCAGUGGAGACAAGCGCUUAUAACUUGAGUUUCUAGGCUGGAUCAGCUGUCCUCACUGACUCGACUCCUUGCUU
rnacentral:lncRNA from 1 species